UUGUGGCAAAAUUGGAUCGAAAAACCUCGACAAAGACAAACAUGGCGUGUUCGACCACCGAGGAUCUAUGUCACAUGAACAUUGUCUUGGAUUUGGCUGUCCAUCCAGUGGUACAUGAGAUAUAGGCUAUUGAUAGCCGAAAAAUUAAAUAAAAGGGUCAGAAGGGAUAAUAGGCAAAUUUCGGCCAACCAAAUGCCUUCUUCAGGUCUUCCCUAGUUUAAUUUAGUUACAGAACUAGCGGAAGACCUAAAAAGGUCUUUGAUAACUGAAAGAGAUAAAUAAAAGGCUGCAUGGUGAAGGUCGGUGACCUUGAUCGGCAACGAUGAGUUGAUUGGAAUUCAAUCAUUGGGGAAUGAGUUUAAACCAGCAUUAAUCGAAAGAUCUCGAAGAAAUCUAUUGAUUGAUGUAUGUUUCUGGGUCGAACAUGCUUUGGUUAGGUUCGAUUUCCAAUGGAACGACCACACUAGGUUUAAUAUUGUAAAGUCGAUUUUGGAAGAAUUGAUAUGGUAUUGAAGGAGGUUCUUUGGUGCUUUAGAAAUAAGAGGUGAAGAAGAAGAGGUGGUGUGAAGAUGGUUGAAUUUGGAGAUCACGAACCCGCGGAGGCAAUUUUUGGGCUAUAGAUCUAGGGUGGUAGACAGCGGAAAAAGCGGUGGAGGACAGCAAAAACAAUUUUUGUCCAUCUCAGAGGGGAGAGGGAAUAGAGGAUUUUAUGUUUUUUGAUUAAAAAUCGAAUCUAUAGAUCCUUGUUCUACUUAAAAAGAUUUAAAGAUGAAAUGAUAUAAUUUCAGAUGGAAACUAC
rnacentral:lncRNA from 1 species